ACUCAAAGGAAUUGACGGGGGCCCGCACAAGCGGCGGAGCAUGUGGCUUAAUUCGAUGCAACGCGAAGAACCUUACCAAGGCUGAACUACGCCGGAAAAGCCGUAGAAAUACGGUGUCCUUCGGGGUCGGCGAUAGGUGGUGCAUGGCUGUCGUCAGCUCGUGUCGUGAGAUGUUGGGUUAAGUCCCGCAACGAGCGCAACCCUUAUCCCAUGUUGCCAGCGAGUUAUGUCGGGGACUCGUGGGAGACUGCCGGUGCCAAACCGGAGGAAGGUGGGGAUGACGUCAAGUCAGCAUGCCCCUUACGUCUUGGGCUGCACACAUGCUACAAUGGCCGGUACAAAGGGCUGCAAACCCGCGAGGGUGAGCCAAUCCCAUAAAGCCGGUCUCAGUUCGGAUCGCAGUCUGCAACUCGACUGCGUGAAGUCGGAGUCGCUAGUAAUCGCAGAUCAGCAUUGCUGCGGUGAAUACGUUCCCGGGCCUUGUACACACCGCCCGU
rnacentral:rRNA from 1 species